AAGACACGCUAGGGGAGCCGCUUGGCUGAGAAUGGUAUUAUUUACAUGACCCUCACUACUUGAACCGGAUAAUGCCGGCGUAAGGAAGCAGUAUGAUCCAUAC
rfam:Clostridium hathewayi CAG:224 genomic scaffold, scf363